rnacentral:rRNA from 1 species
AUUGAACGCUGGCAGCAUGCUUUACACAUGCCAGUCGAACGGUAACAGGCCUUCGGGUGCUGACGAGUGGCGAACGGGUGAGUAAUGCAUCGGAACGUGCCCAGAGGUGGGGGAUAACGCAGCGAAAGCUGUGCUAAUACCGCAUGUGAUCUGAGGAUGAAAGCGGGGGACCAGGCAGCAAUGUUUGGCCUCGCGCCUUUGUAGCGGCCGAUGUCAGAUUAGGUAGUUGGUGGGGUAAAGGCCUACCAAGCCGACGAUCUGUAGCUGGUCUGAGAGGACGAACAGCCAUACUGGGACUGAGACACGGCCCAGACUCCUACGGGAGGCAGCAGUGGGGAAUUUUGGACAAUGGGCGCAAGCCUGAUCCAGCAAUGCCGCGUGCGGGAAGAAGGCCUUCGGGUUGUAAACCGCUUUUGUAAGGAACGAAAAGGCUCUGGCUAAUACCUGGGGCUGAUGACGGUACCGUAAGAAUAAGCACCGGCUAACUACGUG